UUUCCGUAGGUGAACCUGCGGAAGGAUCAUUAUUGAAUAAACCUGAUGUGGUUGUAGCUGGCCCUUUCGGGGGCAUGUGCACACCCGUCGUCUUUAUCUUUCCACCUGUGCACCUUUUGUAGACCUGGAUGUAACACUUUCCGAGGCAACUCGGUCGGGAGGAAUGCUGUCAGCUUUCCUUGAAUGUCCAGGCCUAUGUUUUCAUAUACCCCAAAGAAUGUAACAGAAUGUAUUAUUGGGCCUUGUGCCUAUAAACUAUAUACAACUUUCAGCAACGGAUCUCUUGGCUCUC
rnacentral:misc_RNA from 1 species